GGGGGCGACCUGGCUUCGACGUGGGUAGCAAAACUUCAGGUGCAUGCCGAGGACAGUACACCUCGUAAAUCCUACUGAAACAAGUAUUCGCAAACGACGAAAACUACUCAGUGGCCUUAGCAGCUUAAACCCUGCACCACUUCUCUGACUGUGUGUGCUUAUGCGCGCAGGUUCUUCGGAACACUCAGGGAUCAUAUUACAUAAGAUCGUGCCAGGGCUUCGUUCGGAGCUUAAAGCACUAAAUCCAAUCGAAAUCGCUGUUGAAGCUCUUGGCCCGACGGGUAGUCAACAGUUAAAUCAAAAGCGCGGGAUAAGCAUGUAGAGCUUGUAGCGGAGUGCUUGCGGACGCGGGUUCAAUUCCCGCCGCCUCCACCA
rnacentral:tmRNA from 1 species